CAUCCUCCUUUUUUAAUUUUUGUGUGGGGGUAGGGAUGCCGGGAUCUAACCAAGACCUCGGGUGCUAGGUGAGUGCUCUGCCACUGAGCUGAUCCCUGAUCCCUGCAAACAAACCUGUGCCCCAGAAUACACUGUACUGGACAUUAAGUUUUAUUUGUUUCAGUUGGUAAAGUAUUUGCAGGAAGCAUUGGGUGUGUGUGCCGUGGCCUUUCCUGACGUGUCUGUCAUGGCGCUGCUGCGGACGUGGCUCAUCUUGCUGCAAGAUGGAGACAUGGCUGCUGCGUCCUUGAGCAACGUUCAAAGAAAGUGCUCUGUCUUCUUUGAGUAUUGGUUAUUUCAAAAUGAAUAUAGUCUAUUUAACCUUCUUUGUAUAUAUUUCCCUUAGAUUUAUUGUGCUCAGUUUGUUUAGUUAUAUGUUUUGUGAAUUAUCAGGAGCAAAUUUGAUAAGUACAUGUGAAUAACCUCCUGUAAAUUAGUUUUAUAAGAAAUGUACUAAACUAUUUUCUGAACUUAGUUGUGCAGAUUGACAAUUUUUUUCCUGUAGCUUUGACUUUCUAUGCUGUAUAUUUAUAGCUGGGAUUUGACAAACAAUGGACCUGUUCUCUUUGUUAAAACCUAAAUUUUAAGACAAUGGCAGAAUUAAAAGUGGAA
rnacentral:lncRNA from 1 species